GUGCCAGCAGCCGCGGUAAUACGGAGGGUGCGAGCGUUAAUCGGAAUUACUGGGGGUAAAGCGCAUGCAGGUGGUUUGUAAAGUCAGAUGUGAAAGCCCGGGGCUCAACCUCGGAAUUGCAUUUGAAACUGGCAGGCUAGAGUACUGUAGAGGGGCCUAGAAUUUCAGGUGUAGCGGUGAAAUGCGUAGAGAUCUGAAGGAAUACCGGUGGCGAAGGCGGCCCCCUGGACAGAUACUGACACUCAGAUGCGAAAGCGUGGGGAGCAGACAGG
rnacentral:rRNA from 1 species